rnacentral:lncRNA from 1 species
UUGUUGUCACAGCCCGGCCUGCCCCAACCUGCCUCAUAGGAAGCAUCGGAGACACUCCACCAGCUUCCCCCAUGGCUUCUCUCACCCUGGGGCCAAGGCAGCGUCUGGUACAGAGCUGAGGCAGGGGAGAGAUAUCCUCGGAGCCAACAUACAUGUGUUUAGCCUGGAUCCUCCGUGCCUGAGCAACUCAGGGGCAGUGGAAAAGCUGAGGGAACUGGAGAACAGCUGCUGUCCUCUCCCUGCGCACAUCUGUUCUGCCUCAUGCCAAAGGGAGACAAUGGCUAAAGGG